rnacentral:rRNA from 1 species
CUACGGGAGGCUGCAGUGGGGAAUUUUGGACAAUGGGCGCAAGCCUGAUCCAGCCAUGCCGCGUGAGUGAAGAAGGCCUUCGGGUUGUAAAGCUCUUUCAGGUGGGAAGAAACGGUUAAUGUUAAUAGCAUUGACUACUGACGGUACCACCAGAAGAAGCACCGGCUAACUACGUGGCCAGCAGCCGCGGUAAUACGUAGGGUGCGAGCGUUAAUCGGAAUUACUGGGCGUAAAGGGUGCGCAGGCGGUUUUGUAAGCCAGAUGUGAAAUCCCCGGGCUCAACCUGGGAACUGCAUUUGGGACUGCAAGGCGAGAGUACGGCAGAGGGGGGUAGAAUUCCACGUGUAGCAGUGAAAUGCGUAGAUAUGUGGAGGAAUACCGAUGGCGAAGGCAGCCCCCUGGGUCGAUACUGACGCUCAGGCACGAAAGCGUGGGGAGCAAACAGGAUUAGAUACCCCCGUAGUC